rnacentral:rRNA from 1 species
ACUCAAAUGAAUUGACGGGGACCCGCACAAGCAGUGGAGGAUGCGGUUUAAUUCGAUGCUACGCGAAGAACCUUACCGAGGCUUGACAUCCUGAGAAUCCCGCCGAAAGGUGGGAGUGCCUUCGGGAAUUCAGUGACAGGUGCUGCAUGGCCGUCGUCAGCUCGUGUCGUGAGAUGUUGGGUUAAGUCCCGCAACGAGCGCAACCCUUGUCGUGUGUUGUAUUUUCACACGAGACUGCCCGGGCCAACCGGGAGGAAGGUGGGGAUGACGUCAGGUCUGCAUGGCCCUUACGCCUCGGGCUACACGCGUCCUACAAUGGCCGGUACAACGCGUUGCCAACCCGCGAGGGGGAGCUAAUCGCAACAAAACCGGUCUCAGUUCGGAUUGUAGGCUGCAACUCGCCUACAUGAAGUUGGAAUUGCUAGUAACCGUAGGUCAGCAUACUACGGUGAAUACGUUCCCGGGUCUUGUACACACCGCCCGU